GAUGAAGAACGCAGCGAAAUGCGAUAAGUAAUGCGAAUUGCAGAAUUCAGUGAGUCAUCGAAUCUUUGAACGCACAUUGCGCCCUGUGGUAUUCCGCAGGGCAUGCCUGUUCGAGCGUCAUUACAACCCUCAAGCUCAGCUUGGUGUUGGGCCCCGCCGCCCCGGCGGGCCCUAAAGUCAGUGGCGGUGCCGUCCGGCUCCGAGCGUAGUAAUUCUUCUCGCUCUGGAGGUCCGGUCGUGUGCUCGCCAGCAACCCCCAAUUUUUUUCAGGUUGACCUCGGAUCAGGUAGGGAUACCCGCUGAACUUAAGCAUAUCAAUAAGCGGAGGA
rnacentral:misc_RNA from 1 species